GGUCAAGUGAAUAAGUGCAUCAGGCGGAUGCCUUGGCGAUGAUAGGCGACGAAGGACGUGUAAGCCUGCGAAAAGCGCGGGGGAGCUGGCAAUAAAGCUAUGAUUCCGCGAUGUCCGAAUGGGGAAACCCACUGCAUUCUGUGCAGUAUCCUAAGUUGAAUACAUAGGCUUAGAGAAGCGAACCCGGAGAACUGAACCAUCUAAGUACCCGGAGGAAAAGAAAUCAACCGAGAUUCCGCAAGUAGUGGCGAGCGAACGCGGAGGAGCCUGUACGUAAUAACUGUCGAGAUAGAAGAACAAGCUGGGAAGCUUGACCAUAGCGGGUGACAGUCCCGUAUUCGAAAUCUCAACAGCGGUACUAAGCGUACGAAAAGUAGGGCGGGACACGUGAAAUCCUGUCUGAAUAUGGGGGGACCAUCCUCCAAGGCUAAAUACUCAUCAUCGACCGAUAGUGAACCAGUACCGUGAGGGAAAGGCGAAAAGAACCCCGGGAGGGGAGUGAAACAGAACCUGAAACCUGAUGCAUACAAACAGUGGGAGCGCCCUAGUGGUGUGACUGCGUACCUUUUGUAUAAUGGGUCAACGACUUACAUUCAGUAGCGAGCUUAACCGGAUAGGGGAGGCGUAGGGAAACCGAGUCUUAAUAGGGCGAUGAGUUGCUGGGUGUAGACCCGAAACCGAGUGAUCUAUCCAUGGCCAGGUUGAAGGUGCCGUAACAGGUACUGGAGGACCGAACCCACGCAUGUUGCAAAAUGCGGGGAUGAGCUGUGGGUAGGGGUGAAAGGCUAAACAAACUCGGAGAUAGCUGGUUCUCCCCGAAAACUAUUUAGGUAGUGCCUCGAGCAAGACACUGAUGGGGGUAAAGCACUGUUAUGGCUAGGGGGUUAUUGCAACUUACCAACCCAUGGCAAACUCAGAAUACCAUCAAGUGGUUCCUCGGGAGACAGACAGCGGGUGCUAACGUCCGUUGUCAAGAGGGAAACAACCCAGACCGCCGGCUAAGGUCCCAAAUGAUAGAUUAAGUGGUAAACGAAGUGGGAAGGCACAGACAGCCAGGAUGUUGGCUUAGAAGCAGCCAUCAUUUAAAGAAAGCGUAAUAGCUCACUGGUCGAGUCGUCCUGCGCGGAAGAUGUAACGGGGCUCAAAUCUAUAACCGAAGCUGCGGAUGCCGGUUUACCGGCAUGGUAGGGGAGCGUUCUGUAGGCUGAUGAAGGUGCAUUGUAAAGUGUGCUGGAGGUAUCAGAAGUGCGAAUGUUGACAUGAGUAGCGAUAAAGCGGGUGAAAAGCCCGCUCGCCGAAAGCCCAAGGUUUCCUACGCAACGUUCAUCGGCGUAGGGUAAGUCGGCCCCUAAGGCGAGGCAGAAAUGCGUAGUCGAUGGGAAACAGGUUAAUAUUCCUGUACUUGAUUCAAAUGCGAUGUGGGGACGGAGAAGGUUAGGUUGGCAAGCUGUUGGAAUAGCUUGUUUAAGCCGGUAGGUGGAAGACUUAGGCAAAUCCGGGUUUUCUUAACACCGAGAAGUGAUGACGAGUGUCUACGGACACGAAGCAACCGAUACCACGCUUCCAGGAAAAGCCACUAAGCUUCAGUUUGAAUCGAACCGUACCGCAAACCGACACAGGUGGGCAGGAUGAGAAUUCUAAGGCGCUUGAGAGAACUCGGGAGAAGGAACUCGGCAAAUUGAUACCGUAACUUCGGGAGAAGGUAUGCCCUCUAAGGUUAAGGACUUGCUCCGUAAGCCCCGGAGGGUCGCAGAGAAUAGGUGGCUGCGACUGUUUAUUAAAAACACAGCACUCUGCCAACACGAAAGUGGACGUAUAGGGUGUGACGCCUGCCCGGUGCCGGAAGGUUAAUUGAAGAUGUGCAAGCAUCGGAUCGAAGCCCCGGUAAACGGCGGCCGUAACUAUAACGGUCCUAAGGUAGCGAAAUUCCUUGUCGGGUAAGUUCCGACCCGCACGAAUGGCGUAACGAUGGCCACACUGUCUCCUCCCGAGACUCAGCGAAGUUGAAGUGGUUGUGAAGAUGCAAUCUACCCGCUGCUAGACGGAGAGACCCCGUGAACCUUUACUGUAGCUUUGCAUUGGACUUUGAAGUCACUUGUGUAGGAUAGGUGGGAGGCUUGGAAGCAGAGACGCCAGUCUCUGUGGAGUCGUCCUUGAAAUACCACCCUGGUGUCUUUGAGGUUCUAACCCAGACCCGUCAUCCGGGUCGGGGACCGUGCAUGGUAGGCAGUUUGACUGGGGCGGUCUCCUCCCAAAGCGUAACGGAGGAGUUCGAAGGUUACCUAGGUCCGGUCGGAAAUCGGACUGAUAGUGCAAUGGCAAAAGGUAGCUUAACUGCGAGACCGACAAGUCGGGCAGGUGCGAAAGCAGGACAUAGUGAUCCGGUGGUUCUGUAUGGAAGGGCCAUCGCUCAACGGAUAAAAGGUACUCCGGGGAUAACAGGCUGAUUCCGCCCAAGAGUUCAUAUCGACGGCGGAGUUUGGCACCUCGAUGUCGGCUCAUCACAUCCUGGGGCUGUAGUCGGUCCCAAGGGUAUGGCUGUUCGCCAUUUAAAGUGGUACGUGAGCUGGGUUUAAAACGUCGUGAGACAGUUUGGUCCCUAUCUGCAGUGGGCGUUGGAAGUUUGACGGGGGCUGCUCCUAGUACGAGAGGACCGGAGUGGACGAACCUCUGGUGUACCGGUUGUAACGCCAGUUGCAUAGCCGGGUAGCUAAGUUCGGAAGAGAUAAGCGCUGAAAGCAUCUAAGCGCGAAACUCGCCUGAAGAUGAGACUUCCCUUGCGGUUUAACCGCACUAAAGGGUCGUUCGAGACCAGGACGUUGAUAGGUGGGGUGUGGAAGCGCGGUAACGCGUGAAGCUAACCCAUACUAAUUGCCCGUGAGGCUUGACUCU
rnacentral:rRNA from 1 species